rnacentral:rRNA from 1 species
CAUGCAAGUCGAGCGGUAGAGAGAAGCUUGCUUCUCUUGAGAGCGGCGGACGGGUGAGUAAUGCCUAGGAAUCUGCCUGGUAGUGGGGGAUAACGUUCGGAAACGGACGCUAAUACCGCAUACGUCCUACGGGAGAAAGCAGGGGACCUUCGGGCCUUGCGCUAUCAGAUGAGCCUAGGUCGGAUUAGCUAGUUGGUGAGGUAAUGGCUCACCAAGGCGACGAUCCGUAACUGGUCUGAGAGGAUGAUCAGUCACACUGGAACUGAGACACGGUCCAGACUCCUACGGGAGGCAGCAGUGGGGAAUAUUGGACAAUGGGCGAAAGCCUGAUCCAGCCAUGCCGCGUGUGUGAAGAAGGUCUUCGGAUUGUAAAGCACUUUAAGUUGGGAGGAAGGGUUGUAGAUUAAUACUCUGCAAUUUUGACGUUACCGACAGAAUAAGCACCGGCUAACUCUGUGCCAGCAGCCGCGGUAAUACAGAGGGUGCAAGCGUUAAUCGGAAUUACUGGGCGUAAAGCGCGCGUAGGUGGUUCGUUAAGUUGGAUGUGAAAG